AUUGAACGCUGGCGGCAGGCCUAACACAUGCAAGUCGAGCGAGCGGCGGACGGGUGAGUAAUGUAUGGGGACUGCCCGAUAGAGGGGGAUAACUACUGGAAACGGUAGCUAAUACCGCAUACUAUCGGAUAACCCAUAUGGGAUUAGCUAGUAGGUGAGGUAAUGGCUCACAUAGGCGACGAUCCCUAGCUGGUCUGAGAGGAUGAUCAGCCACACUGGGACUGAGACACGGCCCAGACUCCGACGGAGGCAGCAGUGGGGAAGAUUGGACAAGGGGGGCAAGCCUGAUGCAGCCAUGCCGCGUGUAUGAUGAAGGCCCUAGGGUUGUAAAGUACUUUUAGUCGGGAGGCGUUACCUGCAGAAGAAGCACCGGCUAACUACGUGCCAGCAGCCGCGGUAAUAC
rnacentral:rRNA from 1 species